GACAUGAAGGAGCAUCAGCAGGAGGCGCUGCAGCAGGAGGACAAAGAGCAGCAGCAUGAGGAGGAGGAGCGUGCGCGUGGUGGGAUCGAGAGGAGUCCUGAGGAGGAGGUUCUGGUCUCACGGUGCAGAGACGUGAACACGACUCACGAUGAUGAUGAUGAUGAAGAUGAAGGUGCUUCCCCGGGUGCACGCGCCCCUCCGGCCGGUGGGGCGAUGAGGCCCCGCAGACCGGCCCGCUGCUCGGAUCCACUACAGUCCGGAAUAAGAGUACUCGACCCCCCGAGAAGAGCCGACGCCUUUCAAACUAAAGAAAGCAGCCCGACCGGGACCGGAGAGCGGGGGCGCGCCGGGCCGCGGGGGCGCGCAGCCGAUGAUCGAUGAUCGAUCGGCCGAUCAGGUCCGCAGUGAUGCUGCUGCCGGCGCUCUUCCUCCUCCUCCUCCUCCUCCUCCUGCUGGCGGGAAGCUGCGGCCCGGAGCCGGAGGUCCGAUCCCCGGGGACGAGCCUGGGGAGGGAGAGCAGGUCCCCGGGUCAGUACUACGCGUCCUACUACUGUAGUACUACUAGUGGUAGUUGCCAACCCAGAAACUAGUCCUGAGACAGUGUACAUCACAUCAAGUUGUCAUCAGGCCAAAUCAGUACUUGUGUUCACGACGAUCUGGAGAUAAACGCUCUUCAUCAACAUCUUCCUCUCUGUUUAAAUAAACUCUGCUCUGCUCAUCCACAAGAUGAAGGGGGUCAUCGAGAUCCACGGCACAAGGAGAAGUUCAUCAAACACCUGACAGGUCCUCUCCACUUCAGCCCGAAGUGCAGGAAACAUUUCUACAGACUUUACCACAGCACCAGAGACUGCACGACACCUGAGUAUUAUAAAAGAUGUGCUCGUCUGCUGACUCGAUUGGCCAACAGCCUCCACUGUACGUAGAGAUGAUCCCCGAGCAGAUCUUAUCGAGGUCCUUCUUUUGAUGAGCAGAAGACCUUCUCCAGCCAAUAGAAACGCCUCCGAGGCUCCACAGUCGUCUACUGACGCCUCCACUGACUCGACUGGCUUCUAUCGACUCGGGAGGAACAAGGAACGUCUGCAAACUCAACAACUGUUGCAACAGAAACUUUCAUCUGGGACCGAAUGUCUUCUUCACCUUUUUUGUGUUAUUUAGAGGCCUCUGGAGGAAACGUGGACAAACCCUCCGAUCGGACAUUGCCUAAAUACCUUGACUCGACUUUUAGUUUUGUUGUUCUGGACUAUGGAAAAUGAUCAAAGAUGCUGAAUAUGUUUUGUGUUCAUAAUAACUAAUAAUAUUCCAGUAUGUUUAUAUUGUUUAAGCCCAUGUGUGUAAUGUGUACAUACUGAAAGAAGAAUGAACUCACAUUUGAAAUGUUUUUCUCACAUUAGGACUUUUUAUUUUGAUUGAAAAUUAGCAUUCAGCCACAUUACAUUACAUGUCAUUUAGCUGACGCUUUAUGAUUAAAGACAUACUGUGAGGCUAACGUUAGCAUAUUGGGUCAACUUCACCUAAUCGCUGUACAAAGAAUGGAAAUUAUAUUUUAUCAACAUGGAGCCAUAGACAGACCCAAACUAAGUAAAAGGAACUGUGGGUAAUUGCA